ensembl:lncRNA
AAGCAAACAGGCCUCCCAUUGUCUGUUGGGAAGCAGGUCACAGUCAAGGCCCAGGCUGCACCCACCUGAGGUCAGGAUGAAGGCCAAGGGAGGUUGGAGCAUCCUGGCACCAGGCCUACGUGAGCUCUGGCAUAAGAAAACUCACACUCGGAGACAGAAAGCAAAUGUGGGCUGUUCUCCCAAGCGGUGAAGAGUUUCGGACUGGCACUCCGAGAGGCCCGGGCUUCGAUCCCAGCUCUGCCACAGUCCAGCAGUCAGGAUUCUCCAGGCAAGAAUGCUAGAGUGGAUUGCCAUUUCCUUCUCCAGGGGAUCUUCCUGACCCAGGGAUUGAACCCAGGCCUCCGGCUUCACAGGCAGCCUCUUUACCAGUUGAGCCACC